rnacentral:rRNA from 1 species
GAUGAACGCUGGCGGCGUGCUUAACACAUGCCAGUCGAACGGAAAGGCCCAAGCUUGCUUGGGUACUCGAGUGGCGAACCGGUGAGUAACACGUGGGUGAUCUGCCCUGCACUUCGGGAUAAGCCUGGGAAACUGGGUCUAAUACCGGAUAGGACCACAUUUUGGAUGGUGUGGUGGAAAGUUUUUCGGUGUGGGAUGAGCUCGCGGCCUAUCAGCUUGUUGGUGGGGUAAUGGCCUACCAAGGCGUCGACGGGUAGCCGGCCUGAGAGGGUGUACGGCCACAUUGGGACUGAGAUACGGCCCAGACUCCUACGGGAGGCAGCAGUGGGGAAUAUUGCACAAGGGGCGCAAGCCUGAUGCAGCGACGCCGCGUGGGGGAGGACGGCCUUCGGGUUGUAAACUCCUUUCGCUAGGGACGAAGCGUUAUGUGACGGUACCUGGAGAAGAAGCACCGGCUAACUACGUG